rnacentral:rRNA from 1 species
AUGACACUGGUGCACAGCAGCACAGACUGUUUGAGGUCUGGUCGCUACAGGUUGGGUUUUAUUUGUGUAUUUGGCCGAAUUUGGCAUAUUUUAACCAAACCCUUCGCAUGGGCUCGCCGUGCAUUUGUAUGGUCUGGAGAAGCUUACUUGUCUUAUAGUUUAGCUGCUUUAUCUGUCUUUGGUUUUAUCACUUGUUGUUUUGUAUGGUUCAAUAAUACAGCUUAUCCGAGUGAGUUUUAUGGACCCACCGGGCCAGAAGCUUCUCAAGCUCAAGCAUUUACUUUUCAAGUUAGAGACGAGCGUCUUGGAGCUAAUGUGGGAUCCGCUCAAGGACCCACAGGUUUAGGUAAAUAUCUAAUGCGUUCCCCAACUGGGGAGGUUAUCUUUGGAGGGGAAACUAUGCGUUUUUGGGACAUUCGUGCUCCAUGGUUAGAACCUCUAAGGGGCCCCAACGGUUUGGACUUGAGUAGGUUGAAAAAAGACAUACAACCUUGGCAAGAACGAUGCUCAGCAGAAUAUAUGAACCACGCUCCUUUAGGCUCUUUAAAUUCUGUGGGUGGCGUAGCUACCGAGAUCAAUGCAGUUAAUUAUGUCUCUCCUAGAAGUUGGUUAUCAACUUCUCAUUUUGUUCUAGGAUUCUUCUUUUUUGUGGGCCAUUUAUGGCAUGCAGGAAGAGCCCGAGCUGCUGCUGCAGGUUUUGAAAAGGGAAUCGAUCGUGAUUUGGAACCUGUUCUUUACAUGAACCCUCUUAACUAA